GGAACUCAGUCAGUGGUCGGCAGCGAUCGGAUGGAAGUCAUCAACCAACAGCGACCAGCCAGCUCUACAGCAGGAUCUCCCAGUGGGUCCAACACUAACAACAAUUCUUCCCGCCGACUUUCGGGUCCGAUAACAACACGAGGGAGCCGUUUACAGCCGGAGGAUCCAGACGCGAGAAGAUCCUCCCACAGAUACCGUUUGCAAAAUAAUUAUUUGUUUAUAUUUUAGGUUCUUUUUAAAGUAUUAUACAAGUAAUCUUCAAA